UUAAGUCUUUUCAACGUUGUUUCUCAUAAUUAGAUAACGACUAGUUUCCUCUUCCUCUCCCCCGAGCUCUACUUUCCGUUAAUGGCAACGAGAACGUUGAGCUCCACUCAGUUCCCAAUCUUACCCUCGCCACCCUUUCUAUCCCUCUCUCCACGCCUCGGUCACUCCUACCGCAAACCGCCGCCCGCCGCCUCCAUCAUCCGCCGCAGGUUCCGGCUGAAACCACCUCCUGAUUCAGCCAUAUAUAUCCGGCGCGACUCCGACUCCGACUCCGACUCCGAGCCGUUGUUAGAUUCCAGAUUUGGUGAGUCAUUUUUACGUUUAUACGCUGAGUGAGAUUAAUUUGAUGAUGAAUUGGAAUACGCAAAAAUUUACCUACAUAACAUACUACUUUUGUCCUGCUAGUUCUGUUUUCUGGCACUUCUGAUAAGAUUGUUUUCAAGUGUAUGAACGAUGUGGAGGAGUGCGGAUUUUGCAGAUGAUGCAGUUUUUGAAGUGUUGUACUCCCUCCGUCCCAGCUUUUAGUAUCCAAUUUUCCUUUUUUGGCCGUCCCACAUUUUAGUAUCUAUUUCUAUUUUUGGUAAAGUAGGUGGGGCCCUUAUUCCACUUUAAUUAUUUUAUUUCACUCACAACACAUCAAUCACUUUAUUAAAACCCAUGUCGUUCUCAACUGGAUACCAAAAGCCGGGACGGAGGGAGUACUAAUUUGUAUUUCAUGAGUUGAGAACUGCGGAUUUUGUGGAUAACGCAGUUAUUAAGUAGAAUAUUUAAUGAGCUGAGACUUGUUCUUUUAAAUCUACGAAUGUACUAUUACUAAUUUACUAUAGUAAAUUAUUUGCCAGAACUCUUGGAGAUAUUGAAUUCGCAGAUAAAGAGAUAGAAACUGGUUUCCGGCGGAGAGUGGUAGAGAAUGAAAUCGCGUGUUCUGUUUUCGCUCGUUUUCUGAGAGUAAUGUAACGUGGAAACAUCUAUAUUCGAUUAGGUGAACAAAAAUUCAUUCAAGGAUGAAAAUAUUUUUUCUUCUUUGUUAAUCUAAGCUCGAAUUGCAUAUAAUUGUUUUUCUUCUACGUAUUCUGAACUAAUGAAAACUGCUUCUUCUUUUUCACAGCACGGUUUUCGCUCUCUGUUGAGUACUCUAUGAAAACAAAUUCUCGAUCAUUUUGCAUUACUCUAUAACUUUUACCUGGAAUGUUGAAAUUAGAAUGAUUUGAAUCUUUGUGAUUUAUUAUAUAGAGUUUGUUUUCUUUCUUGUGAUGGUAGCUUGUUUUCUUUCUGUCUCUCUCUCAUCCCUACUUAAAAU
rnacentral:lncRNA from 1 species